AUUGAACGCUGGCGGCAGGCCUAACACAUGCAAGUCGAGCGAGCGGCGGACGGGUGAGUAAUGCCUGGGAAUUGCCCAGUCGAGGGGGAUAACAGUUGGAAACGACUGCUAAUCCCGCAUACGAUUGGAUUGCCCAGGUGGGGUUAGCUAGUUGGUGAGGUAAUGGCUCACCAAGGCGACGAUCCCUGGCUGGUCUGAGAGGAUGAUCCGCCACACUUGAACUGAGACACGGUCCAGAAUCGUACGGGAGGCAGGAGUGGGGAAUAUUGCACAAGGGGCGGAACCCUGAUGCAGACAAGCCGCGUGUGUGAAGAAGGCCUUCGGGUUGUAAAGCACGUUCAGCGAGGAGGCGUUACUCGCAGAAGAAGCACCGGCUAACUCCGUGCCAGCCGCCGCGGUAAUAC
rnacentral:rRNA from 1 species